UACGUAUGGUGCAAGCGUUAUCCGGAAUGACUGGGUGUAAAGGGAGCGUAGACGGUUGUACAAGUCUGAUGUGAAAGCCCACGGCUCAACUGUGGGAGUGCAUUGGAAACUGUAGAACUAGAGUAUCGGAGAGGCAAGUGGAAUUCCUAGUGUAGCGGUGAAAUGCGUAGAUAUUAGGAGGAACACCAGUGGCGAAGGCGGAUGACUGGACGGCAACUGACGGUGAGGCGCGAAAGCGUGGGGAGCAAACAGG
rnacentral:rRNA from 1 species